rnacentral:rRNA from 1 species
UAACACAUGCAAGUCGAGCGGAUGAAGGGAGCUUGCUCCUGGAUUCAGCGGCGGACGGGUGAGUAAUGCCUAGGAAUCUGCCUGGUAGUGGGGGAUAACGUCCGGAAACGGGCGCUAAUACCGCAUACGUCCUGAGGGAGAAAGUGGGGGAUCUUCGGACCUCACGCUAUCAGAUGAGCCUAGGUCGGAUUAGCUAGUUGGUGGGGUAAAGGCCUACCAAGGCGACGAUCCGUAACUGGUCUGAGAGGAUGAUCAGUCACACUGGAACUGAGACACGGUCCAGACUCCUACGGGAGGCAGCAGUGGGGAAUAUUGGACAAUGGGCGAAAGCCUGAUCCAGCCAUGCCGCGUGUGUGAAGAAGGUCUUCGGAUUGUAAAGCACUUUAAGUUGGGAGGAAGGGCAGUAAGUUAAUACCUUGCUGUUUUGACGUUACCAACAGAAUAAGCACCGGCUAACUUCGUGCCAGCAGCCGCGGUAAUACGAAGGGUGCAAGCGUUAAUCGGAAUUACUGGGCGUAAAGCGCGCGUAGGUGGUUCAGCAAGUUGGAUGUGAAAUCCCCGGGCUCAACCUGGGAACUGCAUCCAAAACUACUGAGCUAGAGUACGGUAGAGGGUGGUGGAAUUUCCUGUGUAGCGGUGAA